rnacentral:rRNA from 1 species
GGAAUAUUGGACAAUGGGCGAAAGCCUGAUCCAGCCAUGCCGCGUGAGUGACGAAGGCCUUAGGGUUGUAAAGCUCUUUCAGUGGGGAAGAUAAUGACGGUACCCACACAAGAAGCCCCGGCUAACUUCGUGCCAGCAGCCGCGGUAAUACGAAGGGGGCUAGCGUUGUUCGGAAUUACUGGGCGUAAAGCGCACGUAGGCGGAUUGGUCAGUUAGAGGUGAAAUCCCGGAGCUCAACUCCGGAACUGCCUUUAAUACUGCCAGUCUCGAGUCCGAGAGAGGUGAGUGGAACUCCUAGUGUAGAGGUGGAAUUCGUAGAUAUUAGGAAGAACACCAGUGGCGAAGGCGGCUCACUGGCUCGGUACUGACGCUGAGGUGCGAAAGCGUGGGGAGCAAAC